GAUGAACGCUGGCGGCGUGCCUAAUACAUGCAAGUCGAGCGAACGGACGAGAAGCUUGCUUCUCUGAUGUUAGCGGCGGACGGGUGAGUAACACGUGGAUAACCUACCUAUAAGACUGGGAUAACUUCGGGAAACCGGAGCUAAUACCGGAUAAUAUUUUGAACCGCAUGGUUCAAAAGUGAAAGACGGUCUUGCUGUCACUUAUUGAUGGAUCCGCGCUGCAUUAGCUAGUUGGUAAGGUAACGGCUUACCAAGGCAACGAUGCAUAGCCGACCUGAGAGGGUGAUCGGCCACACUGGAACUGAGACACGGUCCAGACUCCUACGGGAGGCAGCAGUAGGGAAUCUUCCGCAAUGGGCGAAAGCCUGACGGAGCAACGCCGCGUGAGUGAUGAAGGUCUUCGGAUCGUAAAACUCUGUUAUUAGGGAAGAACAUAUGUGUAAGUAACUGUGCACAUCUUGACGGUACCUAAUCAGAAAGCCGCGGCUAACUACGUG
rnacentral:rRNA from 1 species